rnacentral:rRNA from 1 species
GACCUCGGAUCAGGUAGGAUGCAGUGACCCU